rnacentral:rRNA from 1 species
ACGUGAUCUGAGUUCAGACCGGAGCAAUCCAGGUCAGUUUCUAUCUAUAAAGAGCCUUUUUCAGUACGAAAGGACCAAAAAGACAAGGCCUAUAUUUUAACAAACCUUAUUUAUUAAAUUAUGAGCAAAACUUAAUAACUUAAUAAACUUCUACUUUACUCAAAAAAAGAGUA